rnacentral:tRNA from 1 species
GCAAGCUCAGUGGUAUAGCAUUUGAGUGCAGAUCAAGAGUUCCCCGGUUCAAAUCCGGAUGCC